CCCAGGUCAGGCGGGACUACCCGCUGAGUUUAAGCAUGUUAA
rnacentral:rRNA from 1 species